rnacentral:rRNA from 1 species
AUACGUAGGUGGCAAGCGUUGUCCGGAAUUAUUGGGCGUAAAGCGCGCGCAGGUGGUUCCUUAAGUCUGAUGUGAAAGCCCCCGGCUCAACCGGGGAGGGUCAUUGGAAACUGGGGAACUUGAGUGCAGAAGAGGAUAGUGGAAUUCCAAGUGUAGCGGUGAAAUGCGUAGAGAUUUGGAGGAACACCAGUGGCGAAGGCGACUGUCUGGUCUGUAACUGACACUGAGGCGCGAAAGCGUGGGGAGCAAACAGGAUUAGAUACCCUGGUAGUCCACGCUGUAAACGAUGAGUGCUAAGUGUUGGGGGGUUUCCGCCCCUCAGUGCUGCAGCUAACGCAUUAAGCAUUCCGCCUGGGGAGUACGGUCGCAAGGCUGAAACUUAAAUGAAUUGGCGGGG